UUAGAAUUAACUCGUCGAAACUUUUGGAUAAUUUCAUUUUGUCAGCGCGUUUUUUGUUGCACUGCAACAGCUGAGUUGCUCAUGAUUUACAAUGGAAUGGAGCACAAUAAAGACUAGAUACACGUAAUUAAAGAGAGCAGAAAAAGAAAAAAACUGUCGUAGUGCGCGUGCCGUUUAAUUAACAUUCAUAAAUUACAUUCUUUGUG